rnacentral:rRNA from 1 species
UACAGAGGUCUCAAGCGUUUGUUCGGAUUCAUUGGGCGUAAAGGGUGCGUAGGCGGCAGUGCAAGUCAGGUGUGAAAUCCCGGGGCUCAACCCCGGAACUGCACUUGAUACUGCUCUGCUAGAGUACUGGAGAGGAGACUGGAAUUUACGGUGUAGCAGUGAAAUGCGUAGAUAUCGUAAGGAAGACCAGUGGCGAAGGCGAGUCUCUGGACAGUUACUGACGCUGAGGCACGAAGGCCAGGGGAGCAAACGGG